rnacentral:tRNA from 1 species
UCGCGGAGUAGAGCAGUUUGGUAGCUCGUCGGGCUCAUAAUCCGAAGGUCGAGGGUUCAAAUCCUUCCUCCGCUAA